rnacentral:sRNA from 1 species
UGAAAAGGACCGAGGUCGGCUAAAUGCGCAACAUCCUGUUGCAAAGCCGACACUCGCACGUCCUGUGCU